AGAUUGAACGCUGGCGGCAUGCCUUACACAUGCAAGUCGAACGGCAGCGCGGGAGCAAUCCUGGUGGCGAGUGGCGAACGGGUGAGUAAUAUAUCGGAACGUGCCCAGUCGUGGGGGAUAACGUAGAGAAAUUUACGCUAAUACCGCAUACGAUCCAAGGAUGAAAGCGGGGGACCGUAAGGCCUCGCGCGACUGGAGCGGCUGAUAUCAGAUUAGCUUGUUGGUGAGGUAAAAGCUCACCAAGGCGACGAUCUGUAGCUGGUUUGAGAGAACGACCAGCCACACUGGGACUGAGACACGGCCCAGACUCCUACGGGAGGCAGCAGUGGGGAAUUUUGGACAAAUGGGCGAAAGCCUGAUCCAGCAAUGCCGCGUGCAGGAAGAAGGCCUGGUGUAA
rnacentral:rRNA from 1 species